AGUGGCGACCGGGUGAGUAACACGUGACUAACCUACCCGAGUGGGGAAUAACCUCGGGAAACCGGGGCUAAUACCGCAUAAUGUCUUCGGACCAAAGGAGCAAUUCGCUGGAGGAGGGGGUCGCGGCCGAUUAGCUAGUUGGCGGGGUAACGGCCCACCAAGGCAAUGAUCGGUAACCGGCCUGAGAGGGCGCACGGCCACACUGGAACUGAAACACGGUCCAGACUCCUACGGGAGGCAGCAGUGGGGAAUUUUGCGCAAUGGGGGAAACCCUGACGCAGCAACGCCGCGUGGAGGAUGAAGCCCCUUGGGGUGUAAACUCCUUUCGAUCGGGACGAUUAUGACGGUACCGGAUGAAGAAGCACCGGCUAACUCUGUGCCAGCAGCCGCGGUAAUACAGAGGGUGCAAGCGUUGUUCGGAAUUAUUGGGCGUAAAGGGCGCGUAGGCGGUGCGGUAAGUCUAUUGUGAAAUCUCCGGGCUCAACUCGGAGCCUGCAACGGA
rnacentral:rRNA from 1 species